rnacentral:rRNA from 1 species
UACAUAGGGGGCUAGCGUUGUCCGGAAUCAUUGGGCGUAAAGAGCGUGUAGGCGGUCCGGUAAGUCCGCUGUGAAAGUCGGGGGCUCAACCCUCGAAUGCCGGUGGAUACUGUCGGGCUAGAGUGCGGAAGAGGCGAGUGGAAUUCCUGGUGUAGCGGUGAAAUGCGCAGAUAUCAGGAGGAACACCGACGGCGAAGGCAGCUUACUGGGCCGAUACUGACGCUGAGGAGCGAAAGCGUGGGGAGCGAACAGG